rnacentral:rRNA from 1 species
GGUUGUUAUAUCUCCAACUUAAUAAAGCCAAGAGUAGGGGUUAAACCUUACAAGUGAGUUAUGUGGGUCAAGGUAUGAUGGUUAAUUGGAGUUCUAGUUCUAUUUACUUUGAGAAAUUAGAGUGUUUAAAGCAGCCUCUUGGGGCACUGAAUACAUUAGCAUGGGAUAAUAAAUAGGAUCUUCACAAUAUAUUUUAUUGGUUUAAAUUGCGUAUGAAGAUAAUGAUUAAUAGGGGACAGUUGGGGGUAUUCAUAUUGGGUGGUUAGCGGUGAAAUGCUCGGAUCCAUUCAAGAUGAACUAAAGCGAAAGCAUUUACCAAGGAUGUUUUCAUUAAUCAAGAACGAAAGUUAAGGGAUCGAAGACGAUUAGAUACCGUCGUAGUCUUAACUAUAAACUAUGCCGAC